UUAAGCGACUAAGCGUACACGGUGGAUGCCCUGGCAGUCAGAGGCGAUGAAGGACGUGCUAAUCUGCGAAAAGCGUCGGUAAGGUGAUAUGAACCGUUAUAGCCGGCGAUGUCCGAAUGGGGAAACCCAGUGCAAUUCGUUGCACUAUCGUUAACUGAAUACAUAGGUUAACGAGGCGAACCGGGGGAACUGAAACAUCUAAGUACCCCGAGGAAAAGAAAUCAACCGAGAUUCCCCCAGUAGCGGCGAGCGAACGGGGGAGCAGCCCAGAGUCUGAAUCAGCUUGUGUGUUAGUGGAACGGUCUGGAAAGUCCGACGGUACAGGGUGAUAGUCCCGUACACCAAAAUGCACAGGUUGUGAACUCGAAGAGUAGGGCGGGACACGUGGUAUCCUGUCUGAAUAUGGGGGGACCAUCCUCCAAGGCUAAAUACUCCUGACUGACCGAUAGUGAACCAGUACCGUGAGGGAAAGGCGAAAAGAACCCCGGCGAGGGGAGUGAAAAAGAACCUGAAACCGUGUACGUACAAGCAGUGGGAGCACCUUCGGGUGUGACUGCGUACCUUUUGUAUAAUGGGUCAGCGACUUAUAUUCUGUAGCAAGGUUAACCGUAUAGGGGAGCCGCAGGGAAACCGAGUCUUAACUGGGCGUUAAGUUGCAGGGUAUAGACCCGAAACCCGGUGAUCUAGCCAUGGGCAGGUUGAAGGUUGGGUAACACUAACUGGAGGACCGAACCGACUAAUGUUGAAAAAUUAGCGGAUGACUUGUGGCUGGGGGUGAAAGGCCAAUCAAACCGGGAGAUAGCUGGUUCUCCCCGAAAGCUAUUUAGGUAGCGCCUCGUGAAUUCAUCUUCGGGGGUAGAGCACUGUUUCGGCUAGGGGGUCAUCCCGACUUACCAACCCGAUGCAAACUACGAAUACCGAAGAAUGUUAUCACGGGAGACACACGGCGGGUGCUAACGUCCGUCGUGAAGAGGGAAACAACCCAGACCGCCAGCUAAGGUCCCAAAGUCAUGGUUAAGUGGGAAACGAUGUGGGAAGGCACAGACAGCCAGGAUGUUGGCUUAGAAGCAGCCAUCAUUUAAAGAAAGCGUAAUAGCUCACUGGUCGAGUCGGCCUGCGCGGAAGAUGUAACGGGGCUAAACCAUGCACCGAAGCUGCGGCAGCGACACUAUGUGUUGUUGGGUAGGGGAGCUUCUGUAAGCCUGCGAAGGUGUGCUGUGAGGCAUGCUGGAGGUAUCAGAAGUGCGAAUGCUGACAUAAGUAACGAUAAAGCGGGUGAAAAGCCCGCUCGCCGGAAGACCAAGGGUUCCUGUCCAACGUUAAUCGGGGCAGGGUGAGUCGACCCCUAAGGCGAGGCCGAAAGGCGUAGUCGAUGGGAAACAGGUUAAUAUUCCUGUACUUGGUGUUACUGCGAAGGGGGGACGGAGAAGGCUAUGUUAGCCGGGCGACGGUUGUCCCGGUUUAAGCAUGUAGGCUGGUUAUCCAGGCAAAUCCGGAUAAUCAAGGCUGAGGUGUGAUGACGAGGCACUACGGUGCUGAAGUAACAAAUGCCCUGCUUCCAGGAAAAGCCUCUAAGCAUCAGGUAACAUCAAAUCGUACCCCAAACCGACACAGGUGGUCAGGUAGAGAAUACCAAGGCGCUUGAGAGAACUCGGGUGAAGGAACUAGGCAAAAUGGUGCCGUAACUUCGGGAGAAGGCACGCUGGUGUGUAGGUGAAGCCCCUGCGGGUGGAGCUGAGACCAGUCGAAGAUACCAGCUGGCUGCAACUGUUUAUUAAAAACACAGCACUGUGCAAACACGAAAGUGGACGUAUACGGUGUGACGCCUGCCCGGUGCCGGAAGGUUAAUUGAUGGGGUUAUCCGUAAGGAGAAGCUCUUGAUCGAAGCCCCGGUAAACGGCGGCCGUAACUAUAACGGUCCUAAGGUAGCGAAAUUCCUUGUCGGGUAAGUUCCGACCUGCACGAAUGGCGUAAUGAUGGCCAGGCUGUCUCCACCCGAGACUCAGUGAAAUUGAACUCGCUGUGAAGAUGCAGUGUACCCGCGGCAAGACGGAAAGACCCCGUGAACCUUUACUAUAGCUUGACACUGAACAUUGAGCCUUGAUGUGUAGGAUAGGUGGGAGGCUUUGAAGCGUGGACGCCAGUCUGCGUGGAGCCAACCUUGAAAUACCACCCUUUAAUGUUUGAUGUUCUAACGUUGGCCCCUUACCGGGGUUGCGGACAGUGUCUGGUGGGUAGUUUGACUGGGGCGGUCUCCUCCCAAAGCGUAACGGAGGAGCACGAAGGUUAGCUAAUCCUGGUCGGACAUCAGGAGGUUAGUGCAAUGGCAUAAGCUAGCUUGACUGCGAGCGUGACGGCGCGAGCAGGUGCGAAAGCAGGUCAUAGUGAUCCGGUGGUUCUGAAUGGAAGGGCCAUCGCUCAACGGAUAAAAGGUACUCCGGGGAUAACAGGCUGAUACCGCCCAAGAGUUCAUAUCGACGGCGGUGUUUGGCACCUCGAUGUCGGCUCAUCACAUCCUGGGGCUGAAGUAGGUCCCAAGGGUAUGGCUGUUCGCCAUUUAAAGUGGUACGCGAGCUGGGUUUAGAACGUCGUGAGACAGUUCGGUCCCUAUCUGCCGUGGGCGCUGGAGAAUUGAGGGGGGCUGCUCCUAGUACGAGAGGACCGGAGUGGACGCAUCACUGGUGUUCGGGUUGUCAUGCCAAUGGCACUGCCCGGUAGCUAAAUGCGGAAGAGAUAAGUGCUGAAAGCAUCUAAGCACGAAACUUGCCCCGAGAUGAGUUCUCCCUGAGACUUUAAGUCUCCUGAAGGAACGUUGAAGACGACGACGUUGAUAGGCCGGGUGUGUAAGCGCAGCGAUGCGUUGAGCUAACCGGUACUAAUGAACCGUGAGGCUUAACCUU
rnacentral:rRNA from 1 species